rnacentral:rRNA from 1 species
UGGGGAAUAUUGCGCAAUGGGCGAAAGCCUGACGCAGCGACGCCGCGUGAGGGAUGAAGGUUUUCGGAUCGUAAACCUCUGUCAGAAGGGAAGAAACCGCACUGUGCUAAUCAGCAGUGCCUUGACGGUACCUUCAAAGGAAGCACCGGCUAACUCCGUGCCAGCAGCCGCGGUAAUACGGAGGGUGCAAGCGUUAAUCGGAAUUACUGGGCGUAAAGCGCACGUAGGCUGCUUUGUAAGUCAGGGGUGAAAUCCCACGGCUCAACCGUGGAACUGCCUAUGAUACUGCUUAGCUUGAAUCCGGGAGAGGGUGGCGGAAUUACAGGUGUAGGAGUGAAAUCCGUAGAUAUCUGGAGGAACAUCAGUGGCGAAGGCGGCCACCUGGACAGGUAUUGACGCUGAGGUGCGAAAGCGUGGGGAGCAAACAGG